rnacentral:rRNA from 1 species
AUUGAACGCUGGCGGCAGGCCUAACACAUGCAAGUCGAGCGGAUGAAGGGAGCUUGCUCCUGGAUUCAGCGGCGGACGGGUGAGUAAUGCCUAGGAAUCUGCCUGGUAGUGGGGGAUAACGUCCGGAAACGGGCGCUAAUACCGCAUACGUCCUGAGGGAGAAAGUGGGGGAUCUUCGGACCUCACGCUAUCAGAUGAGCCUAGGUCGGAUUAGCUAGUUGGUGGGGUAAAGGCCUACCAAGGCGACGAUCCGUAACUGGUCUGAGAGGAUGAUCAGUCACACUGGAACUAAGACACGGUCCAGACUCCUACGGGAGGCAGCAGUGGGGAAUAUUGGACAAUGGGCGAAAGCCUGAUCCAGCCAUGCCGCGUGUGUGAAGAAGGUCUUCGGAUUGUAAAGCACUUUAAGUUGGGAGGAAGGGCAGUAAGUUAAUACCUUGCUGUUUUGACGUUAUCAACAGAAUAAGCACCGGCUAACUUCGUG